GCCUGAACGCUGGCGGCGUGGCUAAGACAUGCAAGUCGUACGGGACCCGCAAGGGUUCAGUGGCGAACGGGUGAGUAAUGUAUCGCUAACGUGCCCCCGAGUCAGGGAUAGCUGCCCGAAAGGGCAGGUAAUACCUGAUGAGACCACGACCGGGCAUCCGGUUGUGCUCAAAGCAGCAAUGCGCUCAGGGAGCGGGCGAUAUCGUAUCAGCUUGUUGGUGAGGUAACGGCUCACCAAGGCGACGACGCGUAGCCGGACUGAGAGGUUGGCCGGCCACAUUGGGACUGAGACACUGCCCAGACUCCUACGGGGGGCUGCAGUAACGAAUCUUCCGCAAUGCACGAAAGUGUGACGGAGCGACGCCGCGUGUGGGACGAAGUCCUUCGGGAUGUAAACCACUGUCAGGGGUUACCAAGUUCUGAGGAGCCCCAGAGGAAGGCACGGCUAACUCUGUGCCAGCAGCCGCGGUAAGACAGAGGUGCCAAGCGUUAGGCGGAAUCACUGGGCUUAAAGCGUGUGUAGGCGGAUCGUUAAGUACCUUGUGAAAUCCCACGGCUCAACCGUGGAACGGCUGGGUAUACUGGCGGUCUUGAGCCACCUAGGGGCGAGCGGAACAAACGGUGGAGCGGUGAAAUGCGUAGAUAUCGUUUGGAACGCCAACGGUGAAAACAGCUCGCUGGGGGUGUGCUGACGCUGAGACACGAAAGCCAGGGGAGCGAACGGGAUUAGAUACCCCGGUAGUCCUGGCCCUAAACGAUGUCGACUAGAUCGUAGUGCCUCUGACGGUAUUACGGUCGAAGCAAAAGUGCCAAGUCGACCGCCUGGGAAGUACGGUCGCAAGGCUAAAACUCAAAGGAAUUGACGGGGGCUCACACAAGCGGUGGAGCAUGUGGUUUAAUUCGAAGCAACGCGCAGAACCUUACCUGGGCUUGACAUGCCAGGAUUAUCCCCAUGAAAGUGGGGUACGCCUCGCAAGAGGUGGAACUGGUACAGGUGCUGCAUGGCUGUCGUCAGCUCGUGUCGUGAGAUGUUGGGUUAAGUCCCGCAACGAGCGCAACCCCCGUGGCGUGUUGCCAGCAUUAAGUUGGGGACUCACGCCAGACUGCCGGUGACAAACCGGAGGAAGGUGGGGAUGACGUCAAGUCAUCAUGGCUCUUACGUCCAGGGCUAGAAACGUGCUACAAUGGCGCAUACAAAGGGCAGCAAGACCGCAAGGUGGAGCGAAUCUCAUCAAAAUGCGUCUAAGUUCGGAUCGGGGUCUGCAACUCGACCCCGUGAAGGCGGAGUUGCUAGUAAUCGCGGAUCAGCAUGCCGCGGGAAUACGU
rnacentral:rRNA from 1 species